CCCCGGCUGGCUCAGUCAGAAGGGCGUGUGACUCUUGAUCUCAGGGUUGUGAGUUUGAGCCCCACGCUGGGUG
rnacentral:tRNA from 1 species